rnacentral:rRNA from 1 species
AACGGCCGCGGGAUCCUACACCGUGCAAAGGUAGCAUAAUCACUUGUCAUCUAAAUAAUGACUAGCAUGAAUGGUCCAAUGAGGACUUUCCUGUCUCUUGUAACUAAUCAAUGAAACUGAUCUCCCAGUUCAAAAGCUGGGAUAAUCUCACAAGACGAAAAGACCCUGUGGAACUUUAAAGUGCCAAUCAACAUAUGACACAAUCACUUUUAGUUGGGGCAACUUUGGAACAAAACAAAACUUCCAAUAUUAGGGACCACCACAACAUACCUAAGCUAGGUCCACACACCAACCUUAAUUUACCCACAUUUGACCCAGUACUACUGAUCAAAGAAACAAGCUACCCCAGGGAUAACAGCGCCAUCCCCUCUUAGAGUCCCAAUCGAUGAGCGGGGCUUACGACCUCGAUGUUGGAUCAGGGCCCCCAAACAGUGCAGCAGCUGUUAAUGGUUUGUUUGUUCAACAAUUAAUG